rnacentral:lncRNA from 1 species
CUGCAAUUUAGGAGCCCAAAAACCUGUCUAGUGAAUAUAGACUUCAAAGGGAUAUUAUUUGGUACAUAUUUUUUGAACAUUGGAAUGUUCUAUAUACAUUGUAAUCAUGUCAUGCCAAUUAUAAAUAUUAUAGAACCCAAUGAAACAAGAGGAUAGGUAGCCACUGUCAUACUGAAUAAACCAGAUAAAAUCAACCGUGUAAAAUAUUAUAUUUGAGAGCGGAUGAUUUAGCACAUCAGGGUCAGCAUUCUGGUUAAAGGCAGAAAGGGUAACCACAGAGCAUUUUAUCAAGAUUCAAGUACAGCAUACGAUAAUCUGAGAGGCUAGCAGGGAACGUUGCCAGGCUAUUGAUAAUCUGAGGAAGAAGGUAAAUAUUCUGGUUAAUACUUGUUAGUUUUGCUGAAGAGCCGAAGAGACUUAUAAUCAUCUUUUGCUUUGGUGCCUUGUAAUUCACAAAUUAUAGAUUAUGGUUCAUGAUGAACUGCUUUGGAUCAGUUGGGUCGUGGCAGAAUUGAGGGAAGAAAUUUGAGCAUAGAAGGGCAUCAGUAGCGGAAGGAAGGAAGCAAGUGGAGAUUAUACUUCUUAUCAUACUUUGGAUAAUGUGGAAUUAGAAAAAUAGAAGAGCUUCCAAUGGGAUUUUAGGAUACUGAUGAUUUUGAUAUAUUUAAAAACAGAUGGUUCCAGACCCUGAGUUUUUUUUGCAAUGAG